UACAUUUAGGUGUAUGAUGCACGUUAGUUUUUGAUACUAAAAGGGGUAGUUUGAGUCUAUCAUAUGUAA
rnacentral:tRNA from 2 species